UACGUAGGUGACCAGCGUUGUCCGGAUUUACUGGGCGUAAAGAGCGCGCAGGCGGUCGUUCAAGUCGAGUGUGAAAGCCCCCGGCUCAACUGGGGAGGGUCAUUCGAUACUGAUCGACUUGAAGGCAGGAGAGGGAAGCGGAAUUCCCGGUGUAGUGGUGAAAUGCGUAGAGAUCGGGAGGAACACCUGUGGCGAAGGCGGCCCCCUGGGCCGGCCCUGACACUGAGACGCGAAGGCGUGGGGAGCGAACGGG
rnacentral:rRNA from 1 species